CCAACGUCUCAAUUAUUUUUCAGUCUUGUUCUUUCAUUCUCUUAAUUUCUUUUGUUACACUUUACAGAAUACAAACACUCUUUCUUCUUUUUUUCUUUAUCUUCUACUAUUCAGAUAUUCAUUUCUUUCAUUUCAUUCGGGAUAUUUUGGAAUUCAGGAAUUGGAAUCAAGGGCUCGAAGUCUUCAAAUUUCUUGAUUCAACUAUUUAUCAGGUAAUAUUAUUCUAAUAUUCUAGUAUUAUUUUUAUUUGAUAUUUAUUAUUUUGUUAAUUAUAAUAUGUGCAUAUUAUUUAUUUAUUUUUAGAAUAUAAAUAUGUCAACAAGAAAAUAUGCAUCUGGUUAUUCAAAAAUCCAAAAGAAAAGAAAAGUUAAAAAUUUAAUAAAAUCUCAGAAAUGAGCUCUUGAAAUUUUUUUGACAAACAAUAAAAAAACUAAAUCGCAAAAUAUAGGAGAAUAUUCUGUAGAUGAAAAAUUUACUAACUUUGUUGAGUAAGAUGAUAACAUAAUCCAAAUUGAAGAAGAAGAGGUUUAUGAGAAAUCUGAUGAAGAUUCUCAAGAAUAUCAAGAACUAAUAAAUGAAUUAAAUAAUAAUAUUCAUAAAAAUAUAUAUGAUCCCAGUUAAUGGAUUAAUAUUGAUACAAAGUUGAGAUAUUUAUUAGUAGAAAAGGGACCAACAAGAAUUAUUGAUAUAGAUUUUCCAAAGGAUAAAUCCUUAAGACACUUUUCUACUACACAUUAUUUUCAAAAAUUAGCAAAUGGGGAAAAACAUGAAAGAAGAUUUGGUUUAUUCCAAAGAUUUGGAUAGAAUAUUUUAUUUUUGUUGCAAGCUAUUUAAUACAAAUUCUAGUGUUAGUAUUAGUAACUAGCUAGUGAAGGUAGUAGAGAUUGGAGAAAUAUUAGUACUAAGCUUAAACUCAUGAAACAACGAGCGAACAUAUUAUUAAUACGAGUUCAUGGAUUGACUUAGAAAUGAGAUUGAGCAAAAAUAAAAACAAUUGAUAAAGAUAUGCAAGACCAAAUCAAUGGAGAUAGAGAGCACUGGAGAAAUGUGAAGCAAAUCUAGCAACUUAUGAGCUUGAAAUUUUUGAAUUUUUAUUGGGCAUGACUAUCUGGUAUGAUGCUUUAUUUGCUGUUAAUUUAGUUAGCAAAAGUUUUCAAUUAAAAGAUAUGCUUAUUGAUGUUGUCAUAUAUCAACUAAGAGGUUUAAUUUCUUUUUUUGAGAAAUAUAGAGAAGAAGGAUUUACAAAUGCCAUGAUUGCAGCUAAGGAAAUUGCAUUUGAUAUGAAUAUAGAACCUGAAUUUCGUAAUAAACGUGUAAUACAUAGAAAGAAACAGUUUGAUGAGAUGUUGAUAAUGAAAUUACAAAGUCUCCUGAAGAAUCUUUUAGAGUUGAUUACUUCUUAUAUAUAGUAGAUCAAGCCAUUUUUUCACUUCAAAUAGAUUUGAACAAUUAGAAGUAUAUGAAAUUCUUAUAUAUAGUAGAUCAAGCAAUUUUUUCACUUCAAAAUAGAUUUGAACAGUUUUAAGUAUAUGAAAGUAUCUUUGGUUAAUUCCUAUUUAAUGGUAAAAAUUUUAGAUCAUUAGAUGAUGAGAAAUUGAAUAAAUAUUGUCUUAACCUUGAAUGUUCCUUAAAACACAACAAUCACUAAGAUAUUGAUGAUUUAGACUUAUUUUCUGAACUAAAAGUGUUAAGAAAAAUACUAGAAGUAGAAGAUAAUACUCCAAUCGAUAUACUCAAUCAAAUAAGAAGACUUGAUUCUUUUCCAAAUGUUUAUAUUGCUUAUAGAAUAAUGAUAACAACUCCUACAACAGUUGCUUCGGCAUAAAGAAGUUUUUCAAAAUUAAAAUUGAUAAAAUCUUAUCUAAGAUCAACAAUGUCUCUAUAGAAUAAUGUUAACAGUUCCUAUAACAGUUGCUUCAGCAGAAAGAAGUUUUUCAAAAUUAAAAUUGAUAAAAUCUCAUCUAAGAUCAACAAUGUCUCAAGAAAGAUUAAAUGGCAUGGCUAUAUUAUCAAUUGAAAAGGAAUUAUUAGAAAAAAUCGAUUAUAAUAAAGUUAUUAACAAUUUUGCAUCUCAAAAAGCUAGAAGAAUAGAUUUUAAAUAAAAAUAUGCAAUAUAAGAUUUGUAUAAAAAUUUAGGCCCCAUAUUAAACUUUCGCCUUAGGCCUCAUUUACACUUGAGCCGCCCUUGGUAACUGGAAAUUUCAGAUGUAGAGCUGAAGUUUUUGUGUUGUAACUAGGAAACUUCAGUUCUAGAACUAAAGUUUUUGUGUUGUAACGGGAAACUUUUUUUGUUGUAACGGAAAAGUACUGAAAUUUUUGUGUUGUAACUAAAAAAUUUCAGAUCUAGAAUUGAAGUUUUUGUAUUAUAACUGGAAAACUUAAGCUCUGCUUUCUUUCUUGGAUGAAGUUGGCUGGAAGAUAGAAUUUGAUUUCGUACGGAAUAGGGAUAUAACAUAACCAGCUGAACCAAAAUAAUGGCGACAAAUAUCAAGAACCAUUCUGCCAUGAAAUAUAUAUGAAGGAAAUUGGCUUGUUGAAAUUGAAGAAACUCGAAUCAAGUUCUAACUGGGAGUCAAUUAAUAACAUUAGUACAAAGAAGCUCAGAUCUAGCCUGCAGGCAAAUAUCCGUCUUCUGAGAAAGAGCUGUUAUCAAAGAUGAAAACUUCAAAAGACCGUCCAUAAGUGCCUCCAAAAAAAUAGGCAAAACAACUAUUCCUAUCAAAGUUUCAGUUUUUGAGUUCAUAGAAGAGUGCGAAAAGAAACAACUCAUCUUUAUUUACAAAGAUAAAGGUUAAUUCAUUUUACUCACUGGAUUUAUUGUAUUGCUAGGCUUAAUAUCAAAUAGGACGUCCCGCACAAUUUUUAUCCAUUUCUUCCGUUCGCUCCAGUAUUUUUCUCGCUCUCGAUUUUCAUUUUGGAAUACAUAUAAAUUUUUGUUAGAAAUUUAACUCUUUAUUUAUAAUGACUUAUAAAAUAAAUAAAAAGGCUUAUCCUCUGAUGGUAAUCCCUUAUAUAUAUAAUGAUUAUCAAUUUCUUGAAUACAUGUAAAAAUUCACUAAAACAUAUGUGUACUCAAUAUUCUUUAUAAACUGAAUUUACAUUGAAGGAUAACUCCUUCCUCUUUAUAGAAGAAACUUUUAUUUAUUUGGAAAAAAAACCAUUCUAUGUUCUUUAUCGAGUUACAAAAGAAAAGCUAUAAUUAUGAUGGGAAAAAUUAGGGUUAAUUUCAUUGAUGGUCAUCCAACUUAUCAUUUAUUUUGCAAAAGUUACUUAUUUAUUUUUUAUCACUUGAAAGUCACACAACUUUACAUUUGUAACAUAAAAGUCAUUCUAGUUCAAAACCUAUAAAAUAUUCUAUAAAAAUAUGACAUGGCAUUAAAUUUAAUUAAAUAAUUUAAUUAUUUUGCCACAUAAACUUAGAUGGACCAUACCCAAUUUAGACCCAUUUCAUCCACAAUGCGAUUUGACCCAAACGCUUUUAAUAUUUUGACAAUUAGAAGGAAAAGACGAGAACAAUUAUUUUGUGUUAAAAAUAUCUUAUUUUAUUUGUUACGACCUUAAUGCCGCCAUCUAUAAUUUCAUUAAAAAUAUGAUCAGAACUAGCACAGAACCAGUUUUUGCAUCCUUCAUAUCAUUUUAUAAUUUUUCUUGAAGUUAAAAUAAUGCCAUUUCAAUCUCACAUAAUAUAUAAAUGUACCACUAACAGGUAAGAACAACAAGGUAAUAAGAAUUUUCAUAAAUUACUAUUUCAUUAAAAUCAAAAUGUUACUUAUUAAGCAAUAUUAACAUACAAAAAUACUGCUUAGUAAGAAAUAUCCACAAUGAAAUUAUAUAGUGAAAGUUGUCAAUACAUUGCAAUCGGAGGAAAACAUAUAGCUAUAGUUUGGACAAAAGAAAGAGACAACAUAUUGGGUCAUUGACCGUAAAUGUACAACCAAAACCUAAGAUAAAUUCAAAAUACCUAAUUUUUCUUAAAUUUCUUAGACUUCUUUUUCUACAAAUUAAACACAAAAUCAAGUCAAAAUAUUAAUAAUCCAUUUUGAUUAUAGGUCAAGUCACGUUGAGGAAGAAACGGGUCUAACUUAAAGGUGUCUAACGGGCCGGUCCUACCCGUUACCGGACCGGCCUAGACUGGGUGUGACAAUCCGACCUGUCAUCUUUUGUAUUUCAGCCAUGUUAUUCCCGUAUUAUGCUUCCUGUGUGUUGAUAUAUAUGUUUGGUGAGUUUGAAUUGUGUUGGGUUGAAUUUGGUUAGAAAUCAGACCAAUAACCUCUUUAAGGAAAGCUUAAGUUGGAAAAGUCAACCGGAUGUUGACUUGUGAGUUAGAGGGCUCGGAACGGAUUUCUGACAAUUCGACUAGUUUCAGAUGGUGGUUUAUGACUUGAGAGCGAAAUCGAAAUAUAAUUUGGAGGUCCGGUGUAGAAUUAAGCUUGAAUUUGCUAAGUUCGAAUUUUGACAAGUUCCGGUUGAUAGGUGAGAUUUUGAUCCGGGGAUCAGAAUAGAAUUCCAACAGUUGCAGUAGCUUUGUUAGGUGAUUUUAGAUAUGUGUGCAAAUUUUCAAAUCAUUCGGAAGCGUUUAGGUCGGGUUUUGGAUCGAAUGCGAAUUUGGAAAAGUUCUAAUUGACUUAGGCUUGAAUUUGAGGAAUUUGACGAUUUGUUAUGUUAAUAUUGGUGUUUUUAUGGCCCGAACAAGUUUGAAUGAGGUAAUAGGUCAUGUUGGUGCUUUUGGUUGAGGUCUCGGGGGCCUCGGGGUGAUUUCAAAUGGAUAACGGAAAGAUUUUAGUUUGGAAAAGUUGCAGAAAUUGCAGCAGCAGUGCAUACCAAUUUUUGGUCGUCGCGAUUGCGUAGUAGCGGGCCGUUGUUCCCUGAAAUCGCGGGAGGCGAGUCGCGUUCGCGUAAGGUUAGGAGGAAGGGCUAUGCGACCACGUGGUGAUUAGUGCGAUCGUGUAGGGGUAAAUUCGGGAGCUUCAGUUUUUGUUCUCUGCAAUUGCAAGCCUGGGGCUGCGAUCGCAUAUAAGGAAAUUGUUGUGCCGUUAAGGUUUAAAAAAAAUUCAUCCGCGAGCUAUUCCAUAUUUUCUCCAUUUUUGCACCACCUGAGAGCUUGUUGACCUAUUUUGAAGGGGAUUUCGAUGGGAAGUGAUUGGAGAUAAGUCUCGUGGCUUUAAUACGUUAUUUUAUAGAAGAAUCAAUCAUUAAUUCUCUCAAAUUGGGUGUAAAAGUUGAUGAUCUAGGGAUUGAAAUAUCAAAUGAAAAUUGGGAAUUUGGAGGAGCAAUUGGACUCCGUUUUUGAUGAAUUUUCUAUGUACGGACUCGUGGCGAGACGAGGAUUCUGAAAUAUGAAUUUCAUAAUUUUUUGAAAAGGGGGCGGGGGGCUCGGGUUUUGCCAACUUCGUGUUGUUGGGUGUAUUUCGAGUUAUUUCGAUUGGGUUAUGUUCCAUUUGCCUAUUUUGACGUCUUCCUAUUGGUUUUGACAAGAUUUGGCAUCUGCAGAGGUUGAUUCUCGAGAGAACGACAUUGCGAGCUAGUUUGCGGCCGGCUUGAGGUGAGUAAUGGGUGUAGAUGAUGACCUGAUGGUUUGAAACCCCUGUAUAUCAUAUUGUGGCGCUAUUAUGAGGCUAGACACACACUCCAUGGCUAGUGCGGGGUCGUAUAUGUUGGAAAUUGUGACUCUGUCCAAUCCGAGGGAUGGUUUGAAACCCCUGUAUAUCAUAUUGUGGCGCUAUUAUGAGGCUAGACACACACUCCAUGGCUAGUGCGGGGUCGUAUAUGUUGGAAAUUGUGACUCUGUCCAAUCCGAGAGGUAAAUUGUAUUAUGUUGGUGAUUGUUUCGUAUAUUAUAUUGAUGAUAUCUGGGCUUGAUGCCAUGUUUGGGGCCUAACAUGUAGAAUCCCUCAGGGUUCAUUAUCUCAGAAUUUUCAUGAUUUGCAUAUUAUUUGAAUUCAGUCCAGGUUUAAAUACUAUUUUUGCAAACUCAGCCAUAUUUAUACGUUUGAAAACUAAAAUGAUUUUCAAAUGAUACUUCAGGCUAAUGAGUAUUGUCUCACUAUUUCUAGACUAUACAUUAUUUCAAAUGGAAACGGUGGUAACUAUUGGCACCGUGUAUUUUGAAUGGAAACGGUGGUAACUAUGGGUACCAUGUAUUAUAAAUGAAAACGGUGGUAACUAUGGGCACCGUGUAUUAUAAAUGAAAACGGUGGUAACUAUUGGCAUAGUGUAUUGUAACGGAAACAGUGGUGACUAUUGACACUGUAUGAUAUGGUGCUUGAGCUGUAGGAGCACCUCCGGAGUCUGAACCCCCACAGUGAGCGCGGGUAUCCAUAUGAAGCGGGCUGCAAGUUCCACAGUGUUCAUGCAUUGCAUUGCAUCUCAUACAGCUAUUUGUUACCAUUGAUUUACCUGUACAUCUGUGAGAAUGGUACUGUAAAGAACUGCUAGAUAGCUUCAUUUUGUAUUAUUUCGUGUUUUCUUGUCUUCGGGUUUAUACAUGCUUAUUACUCGCUAAGUUGGUAGACUCACCCCAUACUCCCUGCACUUUGUGUGCAGAUCCAGGUGCUCCAGAGACCUAGUGUUGUUGUUCUUGAUUUCCCGAGCUCUUCAGAGUAUUGAGGUAGCUGCUCAGCAUCUGCAUGACCACUUACUUUGUUUCUAUCAGUCAUGUUCUUUUUGCUAUUUUGUCAGACUUUAGUAUCAUUUCUGUUCAGACUUGUAUCAUGUUCUGUUAGAGGCUCUGUACUCGUGACUCCUCGGUUUUGGGAGGAUUAUUAUUCUUACUCAGCUGUAUUUUAUUGGUAUUGCCUAUCCAUGGUUGGGAGUCUGAUAUUAAAAUUUACUGUG
rnacentral:lncRNA from 1 species